CUUUCACCAGGUGCAGUUGAUCCACAGCGACUCAGGUUUAACUGUCUUUAUGUUACACUGUGAUGACUGAGUGAUGUCUUAGUUUUACCAGCAGUGCAGAUUCAGUGUAAAAGUUUCAUCAUUACCCGCCUCAGAUGUUCUUGGAUAACCUGACGAGCAGCAUGCAAAAUGCAGCUGCAGCAACCAGCAGCGCAGCCUUGGUUUCCUCAUCCAGCAGCCACUAUGACGCCAUCAGCCAUGCUGCGAGCUCCUUCCAUGACACUAGGGUCCUCACAGGAGGGGGGGGUGGCACGGGAGGAGGGGCUGACGGCGGCACAUCGGAUAUCAUUUCACUCGAUUGAGCCACGCCAUACUGGACCUGAUGGAGCCUGGUUUUGUUUUUAAUGUGAAAUAUUGUAAAUGUUCAGUUUUCCACACGAGCACUCUGAUGAUGGCAGAGCCCUGUUUUUAACAAUGCUAGCAUUAGCAUGAUAAAUGCCAUGGACCACAUUAACUGAAGAUAUGAGAGUUAAUCAUGUCACGUCAUGUUUGCUGUUCAUGGUCAGGUCCUUUAAUAACAUGCAUACAGAUGUACAUAAAACAAAAAUGUCAUUUUUUGUUUUAGUCGAUUGUCUGAACUUUGUUUUCUACACGGUGACACGGACAGUCUUGUGUCCAUACAUGGUUAUAUUUUCAAAGGAAAACCUUCAGCCUGAGCUCUGUGAACGUCGUCCUGUCACACCAGGACUGGAAACAUUUACAACACCGAGCUGUUGUAGCGAUUUGUUUCCUUUCAUGUAAAUUGGAACUGUGUGCCUCGUCAGUGUGGAGUGGACUGAGAGUGGACCCACUGCUCUGGGCUGGACUAAGAAGACGCUGUCACAGUGAGUGGGUGUUUCCCCACACAGACAGUGGACUGAGCUGUUUCCAGCUCUGGUGGUGUCUGUGGACGUUGUUACAGGGUGGAUUUCAUCUCAUACCAACACAAACUGUGUGUUCUAUUAUACAGUAAAUGAAUCAGAGCAAUAAGAAUUUAACAGGUUUCAGUUACACAGAGUUGUAAUUAAAGGUUCCAGCUGCCUGCAACUCAAACUUCACUGUAAUUUAAUGAACUGCUUUGUGUUUGUAAAGGAAUCAGUGACGUGCUCUCAGAGUGAGGUGUUCAGGUGGAUGUUAAUCUCAGGGCUACAUGUGAUGUAUACACCUUCACUAUGUUCACAGUGACGUCCUGACAUUCUUCACAUACUCUGUCUGUGUUUCCCGUUUAAUAGUUUCCAUAGUUGAACACACAGAAGACAUGUCGCCUUGUCACAGCAGGCAAAGCAUCGAUGUAAUCAAAGCUCACGUCUGUGCCUGUUCUAAUGCUGCUGUGUUGCUGCCUCAUUAACAUUAGUCCAUGUCACAGACGUGCAGUUAUUAUUGGUGUCAUCAUCACGUACGGCCGGCUGUUGAAUCCACACCCUCAGCCAUGCUUCUGUUUGUCCGUCAGUCCCGCCCACAUCAUGAGUCAUUUAAAUGUGAAAACAAACAGUGAUGAUGUCAUCAUUCUCACAAACUAAAUCCAGACUUUGAGCCGUUCCCGUGUUUUUAGUGUGUUAACACGUAUGAACAGUUCAGAGGAUGUGAUGUGUCAAUGAAAUGUUUAUGUGUUGGUGUAAAACUUCAGGUGCAGACAUUUCCUGUUUGAGUCCACUCAUUGAACCUGCAGUGCGCGCGCACACACACACACACACACACACACACACACUGUCUCCCAGCCACAGAGCAGCGACGGUCCCAUCACAACAUUAAUCUGCUUUCUGUUCAUUUCCACACCCAGCCAGUCUCAGGGAGUCUCUCAGCUUUCUGAAGUGGCUGCAUCUUCAAUUCAAAGAUAGCCACAUGAAAUUGUUAAAAUUAAAAAGACAAAAAUAGAGGGACGCAGAAUAUUUUUAGGUCACUUUGUACUUUUUCAAUUCAGAAACUGAAUAUUGUGCUAAUAAAUGUUGGUGUGGACACAUUAAGGCUGUGUGAAUCCAUCACAACAUGAAACAAAGAAAAACUUCACUUUUAGCAACAAAGAUACAUUUUUGAGCAGGUGUCCUGUGACUCUCGCUCCAGAAAUGAGGAUUUAAUUGGAACUAUUAGGAUAUGAGAGAAAACGUCAUAUGAACGAUUAUAAUCUCAGAAUACCAUUUUCUGUAUAACCGUAAGAACGGUGUGCUUUAAACCCAUAAACUUCCUGCCUGUUUGCACCUUUAUUAACGCAUUGGAGCGUUCAUAAAGACGACUGGUUCCCUGUAGGCAGAUGGUAGUGGAUCCACUGGUUUCUGUGUUACUUUAUUUUAUACCUGUACCAUUUUUCUUUAAACACAAUGUUGACAGAAAACGUUUGUUGUGUUUCCUGUAUUCAUCAGCGUCCAGAAUUGUGGUACGUGUAGUUGUUUUUUAUUAAAUAUUUUCUUUUGUAAACAGAAUUUGUUGGUUUUGAAAAUGGGUGAAAAAAUGUAAUUCAAG
ensembl:lncRNA